rnacentral:rRNA from 1 species
UCCACGCCGUAAACGAUGAUUACUCGUUGCAUGCAAUACACCGUAUGUGACUUAGCGAAAGCAUUAAGUAAUCCACCUGGGGAGUACGUUCGCAAGAAUGAAACUCAAAGGAAUUGACGGGGGCCCGCACAAGCGGAGGAACAUGUGGUUUAAUUCGAUGAUACGCGAGGAACCUUACCUGGACUUAAAUGUAGCGUGACCGUACUCGAAAGGGUAUUUCUCUUCGGAGCAGGUUACAAGGUGCUGCAUGGCUGUCGUCAGCUCGUGCCGUGAGGUGUCGGGUUAAGUCCCAUAACGAGCGCAACCCCUAUUGUUAGUUGCUAACAGGUCAAGCUGAGGACUCUAGCGAGACUGCCACCGUAAGGUGAGAGGA